UACUGGUGGCGAGCGGCGGACGGGUGAGUAAUGCCUAGGAAUCUGCCUGGUAGUGGGGGAUAACGCUCGGAAACGGACGCUAAUACCGCAUACGUCCUACGGGAGAAAGCAGGGGACCUUCGGGCCUUGCGCUAUCAGAUGAGCCUAGGUCGGAUUAGCUAGUUGGUGAGGUAAUGGCUCACCAAGGCGACGAUCCGUAACUGGUCUGAGAGGAUGAUCAGUCACACUGGAACUGAGACACGGUCCAGACUCCUACGGGAGGCAGCAGUGGGGAAUAUUGGACAAUGGGCGAAAGCCUGAUCCAGCCAUGCCGCGUGUGUGAAGAAGGUCUUCGGAUUGUAAAGCACUUUAAGUUGGGAGGAAGGGCAGUUACCUAAUACGUAUUUGUUUUGACGUUACCGACAGAAUAAGCACCGGCUAACUCUGUGCCAGCAGCCGCGGUAAUACAGAGGGUGCAAGCGUUAAUCGGAAUUACUGGGCGUAAAGCGCGCGUAGGUGGUUUGUUAAG
rnacentral:rRNA from 1 species